AUUGAACGCUGGCGGCAGGCUUAACACAUGCAAGUCGAGCGGGGUGAUGGUGCUUGCACUAUCACUUAGCGGCGGACGGGUGAGUAAUGCUUAGGAAUCUGCCUAUUAGUGGGGGACAACAUCUCGAAAGGGAUGCUAAUACCGCAUACGUCCUACGGGAGAAAGCAGGGGAUCACUUGUGACCUUGCGCUAAUAGAUGAGCCUAAGUCGGAUUAGCUAGUUGGUGGGGUAAAGGCCUACCAAGGCGACGAUCUGUAGCGGGUCUGAGAGGAUGAUCCGCCACACUGGGACUGAGACACGGCCCAGACUCCUACGGGAGGCAGCAGUGGGGAAUAUUGGACAAUGGGGGGAACCCUGAUCCAGCCAUGCCGCGUGUGUGAAGAAGGCCUUAUGGUUGUAAAGCACUUUAAGCGAGGAGGAGGCUCUUCUGGUUAAUACCCAAGAUGAGUGGACGUUACUCGCAGAAUAAGCACCGGCUAACGCUGUGCCAGCCGCCGCAGUAA
rnacentral:rRNA from 1 species